AUUGAACGCUAGCGGGAUGCUUUACACAUGCAAGUCGAACGAGUGGCGGACGGGUGAGUAAUGUAUCGGAAACUGCCCAGUAGCGGGGGAUAACUACUCGAAAGAGUGGCUAAUACCGCAUACUAUUGGAGCGGCCGAUACGGGAUUAGCUUGUUGGUGGGGUAAAGGCUCACCAAGGCAACGAUCCGUAGCUGGUCUGAGAGGACGACCAGCCAAACUGGAACGGGGACACGGUCCAGACUCCUACGGGAGGCAGCAGUGGGGAAUUUUGGACAAUGGGGGAAACCCUGAUGCAGCCAUGCCGCGUGUAUGAGAAGGCCUUCGGGUGGUAAAGUACUUUUAGCGGGGAGGCGGUACCUGCAGAAUAAGCACCGGCUAACUACGUGCCAGCAGCCGCGGUAAUUC
rnacentral:rRNA from 1 species